rnacentral:lncRNA from 8 species
CAGNNNNNNNNNNNNNNNNNNNNAGUAGUAGUAGUAGUAGUAGUAGUAACAGUAGUAGUAGUAGUAGUAGUUGUAACAGUGGUAGUAGUAGUAGUAGCAACAGUAGUAGUAGUAGUAGCAACAGUAGUAGUAGUAGUAACAGUAGUAGUAGUAGUAGUAGUAGCAACAGUAGUAGUAGUAACAGUAGUAGUAGUAGUAACAGUAGUAGUAGUUGUAACAGUAGUAGUAGUGGUAGUAGCAACAGUAGUAGUAGCAACAGUAGUAGUAGCAACAGUAGUAGUAGCAACAGUAGUAGUAGCAACAGCAGUAGUAGCAACAGUAGUAGUAGCAACAGUAGUAGUAGUAGUGGUGGUAGCAACAGUAGUAGUAGUAGUAGCAACAGUAGUAGUAGUGGUAGUAGUAGUAGCAACAGUAGUAGUAAUAGUGGUAGUAGUAGUAGCAACAGAAGUAGCAGUAGUAGCAGCAGUAGUAGUAGUGGCAACAGUAGUAGUAGCAGCAGUAGUAGUAGUAGUAAUAGUAGUAGCAACAGUAGUAGUAGUAGCAGCAGUAGUAGUAGCAACAGUAGUAGUGGUAGUAGUAGUAGCAACCGUGGUAGUAGUAGUAGCAACCGUAGUAGCAGUAGUAGCAACAGUAGUAGUAGUAGUAGUAGCAACAGUAGUAGUAGCAACAGUAGUAGUAGCAACAGUAGUAGCAGCAGCAGUAGUAGCAGCGGCAGUAGUAGUAGCAACAUUAGUAGUAGUAGUAGUAACAGUAGUAGUAGUAGCAAUCGUAGUAGUAGUAGUAGUAGUAGCAACAGCAGUAGUAGUAGCAGCAGCAGUAGUUGUAGUAGAAGCAGCAGUAGUGGGAGUAGUAGUAGUAGCAGCAGCAUCAGUAGUAGUAGUAGUAGUAGCAACAAUAUUAUUAGUAGCGGUAGUAGUAGCAACAGUAGUAUUCAUAGCAGUAGUAGAAGCAGUUGUAGCAGUAGUAGCAUUAGUAUUUGAAGUAGUGGUGGUAGUAGUAGUAGCAGCAGUAGUAGUAGUAGCAGCAGUAGUUGCAGCAGCAGUAGAUGCCGUAGUAGUAGUUGUAGUAGCAACAGUAGUAUUAUUAGCAGCAGCAGUAGCAGCAUUAGUAAUAGCAGCAGCAGCAUUAGUAGCAACGGUAGUAGUAGUAGCAACAGUAGUAGUAGUGGUAGUAGUAGUAGCAACAGUAGUAGUAAUAGUGGUAGUAGUAGUAGCAACAGAAGUAGCAGUAGUAGCAGCAGUAGUAGUAGUGGCAACAGUAGUAGUAGCAGCAGUAGUAGUAGUAGUAAUAGUAGUAGCAACAGUAGUAGUAGUAGCAACAGUAGUAGUAGCAACAGUAGUAGUGGUAGUAGUAGUAGCAACCGUGGUAGUAGUAGUAGCAACCGUAGUAGCAACAGUAGUAGUAGUAGUAGUAGCAACAGUAGUAGUAGCAACAGUAGUAGUAGCAACAGUAGUAGCAGCAGCAGUAGUAGCAGCGGCAGUAGUAGUAGCAACAUUAGUAGUAGUAGUAGUAGUAGCAACAGUAGUAGUAGUAACAGUAGUAGUAGUAGUAACAGUAGUAGUAGUGGUAGUAGUAGUAGUUGUAACAGUAGUAGUAGUGGUAGUAGCAACAGUAGUAGUAGCAACAGUAGUAGUAGCAGCAGUAGUAGUAGCAGUAGUAGCAACAGUAGCAGUAGUAGCAACAGUAGCAGUAGUGGUAGUAGUAGUAGCAACAGUAGUGGUAGUAGUAGUAGUAACAGUAGUAGUAGUAGUAACAGUAGUAGUAGUAGUAGCAACAGUAGUAGUAGUAACAGUAGUAGUAGUAGUAGCAACAGUAGUAGUAGUUGUAAAAGUAAUAGUAGUAACAGUAGUAGUAGAAACAGCAGUAGUAGUAGUGGAAACAGCAGCAGCAACAGUAGCAUUAGUAUUGGUAGCAGAAGUAUUAGUAGUAGUAGUAGUAGCAACAGUAGUAGUAGUAGCAACAGUAGUAGUAGUGGUAGUAGUAGUAGCAACAGUAGUAGUAAUAGUAGUAGUAAUAGUGGUAGUAGUAGUAGCAACAGAAGUAGCAGUAGUAGCAGCAGUAGUAGUAGUGGCAACAGUAGUAGUAGCAGCAGUAGUAGCAACAGUAGUAGUAGUUGCAACAGUAGUAGUAGUAGCAACAGUAGUGGUAGUGGUAGUAGUAGUAGUAGCAGCAGUAGUAGUAGCAGCAGUAGUAGUAGCAGUAGUAGCAACAGUAGCAGUAGUGGUAGUAGUAGUAGCAACAGUAGUGGUAGUAGUAGUAGUAGUAAUAGUAGUAGCAACAGUAGUAGUAGUAGCAACAGUAGUAGUAGCAACAGUAGUAGUGGUAGUAGUAGUAGCAACCGUGGUAGUAGUAGUAGCAACCGUAGUAGCAGUAGUAGCAACAGUAGUAGUAGUAGUAGUAGUAGCAACAGUAGUAGCAGCAGCAGUAGUAGCAGCGGCAGUAGUAGUAGCAACAUUAGUAGUAGUAGUAGUAACAGAAGUAGUAGUAGCAACAGUAGUAGUAGUAGCAAUCGUAGUAGUAGUAGUAGUAGCAACAGCAGUAGUAGUAGCAGCAGCAGUAGUUGUAGUAGAAGCAGCAGUAGUGGGAGUAGUAGUAGUAGCUGCAGCAUCAGUAGUAGUAGUAGUAGUAGCAACAAUAUUAUUAGUAGCGGUAGUAGUAGCAACAGUAGUAUUCAUAGCAGUAGUAGAAGCAGUUGUAGCAGUAGUAGCAUUAGUAUUUGAAGUAGUGGUGGUAGUAGUAGUAGCAGCAGUAGUAGUAGUAGCAGCAGUAGUUGCAGCAGCAGUAGAUGCCGUAGUAGUAGUUGUAGUAGCAACAGUAGUAUUAUUAGCAGCAGCAGUAGCAGCAUUAGUAAUAGCAGCAGCAGCAUUAGUAGCAACGGUAGUAGUAGUAGCAACAGUAGUAGCAACAGUAGUUGUAGCAAUAGUAGUAGCAGCAGUAUUAGUAGCAGCAGUAGUAAUAGUAGUUGUAACUGUAAUAUCAAGAAGUAACUUUGGUGCACAUUAA